CCUGGGCCUUAAAUAUGAUGACUCAGCAUAAAUUCACAGUUUACAGUAUGCAUAGUUUACUUAAAGUCCUGGAUACAAAAUUAAUUCAUAAUAUUUGCAUAUUUGUAAGUUAAAUUGUUAAGAAGUGCUUAUAUUUACUCUUCGCAGUCAUUGAAACUCAUAGAUCCUUCCUGAAUAUUAUUUAUGGGGUAUUUGUGUCCUUUCGAUAACCCAAAAGUAAGCCGCAACACCUAAAUCUGCUUUUUUGUCACCACGGCAUAAUAAAUACAAGCUAG
rnacentral:lncRNA from 1 species